rnacentral:rRNA from 1 species
GAUAAACGCUGGCGGCGUGCAUUAUGCAUGCAAGUCGAACGGUGCCGCAAGGCACAGUGGCAAACGGGUGAGUAACACGUAAGCAACCUGCCUCUGAGUGGGGAAUAACUUCGGGAAACUGAGGCUAAUACCGCAUACGGUGUGCUCUCGAUGGAGGGUUCACCAAAGCCGCAAGGCGCUCGGAGAGGGGCUUGCGCCCGAUUAGCUAGUUGGUGGGUAACGGCCUACCAAGGCUGUGAUCGGUAGCUGGUCUGAGAGGAUGGUCAGCCACACUGGGACUGAGACACGGCCCAGACUCCUACGGGUGGCAGCCUGAGACGCCAAGGCACACAGGGGAUAGG